rnacentral:lncRNA from 1 species
AGGACAUGGAGGAGAUGAGGGCAGGGAUGCAUGGCUUGGAGAAGACGAUGGAAGGGAUGCGUGGCUUGGACAAAACGGUGGAGCAGCUUGCCCAGAACGUGGCAGCUCUAAUACACAAAGUGGAAGGGCUGAGCUAAAACUCCAAGAGAGAGGGGAAGGCUAGUGUGACGGAAGGAUCAGUGCAAUCAGAAGUGGAAAAGGUCUAGCAUGUAGACGAACCAGAGAAAUGGCAGGAAGGAAUAGAAGGAGCUAGCUUUGGGAGGCCCUCAACGAACACCUUCCAGAGCAGGGAUGAAGAUAGCUGGAAGUGUAAUCAAAAGUGGAGAAGGUCUAGCAUGUAGAUGAACCAGAGAAAUNGAACGUGGCAGCUCUAAUACACAAAGUGGAAGGGCUGAGCUAAAACUCCAAGAGAGAGGGGAAGGCUAGUGUGACGGAAGGAUCAGUGCAAUCAGAAGUGGAAAAGGUCUAGCAUGUAGACGAACCAGAGAAAUGGCAGGAAGGAAUAGGAGGAGCUAGCUUUGGGAGGCCCUCAACGAACACCUUCGAGAGCAGGGAUGAAGAUAGCUGGAGGAGGUGCAAAAAAUGGAGAUGCCCAUCUUCAGUGGUGGCUGUUUUGAGCAGAGAGGUAUUUCGAAGUAAAUGGGCUUACCAAACGAGAGAAGUUGGGAGCAGUGGUAGUCAGCUUGGAUGGAGAUGCACUAUCUUGGUUUCAAUGGGCAGCAAUUCCGGGAGGCGUUACUGCUGCGUUUCCGGCCUAUGCAAAAGGGGAACCUCUGUGAAAAAUUUCUGGCUAUAAAACAAAGGGGGACAGUAGCGGAAUUCCGGCGAGAAUUCGAGUUGCUUGCCGCUCCCCUGAAGUGCAUCUCCGACGAAGUGCUAGAAAGCACGUUUGUUAAUGGGUUGAGAAUUGAUAUAAGGGCUAAAGUGAGGCUCCUGGGUCCAAAGGGGUUGGGCCCAACUAUGGAGAUGGCCCAGAAAAUUGAAGAUAGGAACCUGAUUCUAAAAAAGCUCUAGGAACCCAUGAACCAUAAGUCAUUUAAGCCCACUUCCCGUACAAGUCGGGCAGAUGCGAGGCAAUUUGAGGGAUUUUUAACGAAGACCAUCACAGUCGGAGAGGGACCGACCACAACCAAGCCAUUGAAGAGGUUAUCCGAAGCUGAAUGGCAGCUCAGGCGUGACAAGGGGCUGUGUUUUAAGUGUGACGAGAAGUAUGUGGCCGGCCAUCAAUGUCGGAACCGCAAGUUGCGGGUUUUGCUGGUCGAAGGAGAGGGAGGUUACGAGGAAGAAGGGGAUGUCUGGGUGGAGGAAGAGCAGCCCUUCGAGGUAAGAGACACAGUCGAACUAUCACUCAACUCCGUGGUCGGCUUGACUACACUUGGGACGAUGAAGCUAAAAGGGAUUAUAGGAGGGUGUGGAGUGAUGGUAUUAAUUGAUUGUGGUGCAACCCACAACUUUAUAUCCCUUGAGCUGGUUCAGAAAUUGGAUCUUCCGAUGACAGCCACGACUAAUUAUGGAGUGGUGAUGGGGUCGGGUAAAUCCAUGCAAGGGAAGGGGAUAUGCAGGGGAGUAGCUCUGGAACUGCAAGGGCUAACUAUAGUGGAGGAUUUCUUGCCGCUAGAGUUAGGAAGUACGGAUGUGGUGUUGGGGAUGCAAUGGUUAGGAAGUUUAGGUGACAUGGAGGUCAGCUGGAAACGCUUGUCGAUGAGGUUCCAGUUGGGGAAUUCGGUGAGGAUAUUAAAAGGGGACCCCUGCCUUUAGAAAUCAGGGGUAUCAUUAAAGUUAAUGAUGAAAACCUUACAACAUGAAGGACAGGGAAUAUUGGUUGAAUGGAAGGACCCUUUGGGUAAAAUCGAAAUCAGCGAGGGAGGGGGAGUACCACCUGCAGGGAUACAAGGGAUAUUACAGCAACGUCAACAGGUGUUUAUUACACCAAUAGGGCUUCCCCCAAGCCGUGAUAUUGAUCAUGCCAUUCCCUUGAAGGGGAGGACUGAACCAAUUAACGUGAGGCCUUACAGAUAUCCCCAUUUUUAGAAGAACGAGAUUGAACAGUUGGUCCAGGAGAUGUUAACUGCUAGAAUUAUACAGCCUAGUGUCAGCCCGUUCUCCAGCCCUGUUUUACUUGUGAAGAAGAAAGACAGGAGUUGGAGGUUCUGUGUAGAUUACCGGGCCCUGAACAAAGCAACCAUUCCAGAUAAGCUCCCCAUCCCGAUCAUUGAUGAACCGCUGAACGAGCUACAUGGUGUUGCAAUCUUCUCCAAACUGGAUUUGAGGUCGGGAUAUCACCAAAUUAGAGUAAAGGAGGAUGUUCAUAAUACGGCGUUCCGGACUCACGAGGGGCACUACGAGUUCUUGGUCAUGCCCUUCGGCCUGUCUAAUGUGCCAGCCACAUUCCAAUCUCUGAUGAAUCAGGUCUUUUAGAGGCAGCUGAGGAAAUUUGUGUUGGUCUUCUUCGAUAACAUUCUGAUCUAUAGCAAGAGUUUGGAAGCCCAUGAGCAACACCUGCAGGAGGUAUUGACAAUCUUGGCAGCAAAUCAUCUCUACGCUAAUGCAAAAAAAGUGUCACUUUGGGCAGCAUCAGAUAGAAUAUUUGGGGCACUUAGUCUCAGCUAAAGGAGUAGCAGCAGAUCCUAGCAAGAUAGCAGCAAUGGUACAAUGGCCAAUCCCUCGUAACAUUUGAGAACUUCGCGGGUUUCUGGGAUUGACUGGCUACUGCAGGAGGUUUGUAGCCGGCUGUGGUGCAAUAUCAUGGCCUCUUAUGCAACAAUUACAGAAGGAUGCUUUCAAGUGGAACGAUGAUGCAGAAGCUGCCUUUCAAAAACUGAAGUUGGCUAUGACGAUAGUACCCGUAUUAGCUCUUCAGGAUUUCUCAAAGCCCUUCAUUAUCGAGACAGAGCCUCGGGCCACGGGUUAGGGACGGUUCUUAUGCAGUAGCAGCGCCCUAUUGCCUAUUACAGUCAGGUAUUGUCCGGAAAAUCUCUACACAAAUCCAUCUAUGAGAGGGAAUUAAUGGCCAUUGUCCUAGCCGUCCAAAAAUGGAGGCAUUAUGUGCUGGGAAGAAAAUUUGUUGUGCGUACUGAUCAACGAAGUCUAAAGUACUUGUUGGAACAGCGUGUAAUUCCUAGGAUUUCCAACGGUGGGUGACAAAAUUGAUGGGAUAUGAUUUGGAGAUCCACUAUCGUCCUGGAAAGGAGAACAAGGCGGCAGAUGCAUUGUCGCACCUAUAUCCCUUGGUUGAGUUAGCUACCUUAACCAGCGAAGGUGUUGUGGACAAUCAGUUGCUCGAUGCAGAAGUAGACAAGGAUUCAUACCUCUCUAAAAUAAAAAAAGGGCUGCAGGAAGAUCCAAAUGGGUAUCCACAUUUCUCAUUGGAGCACGGGAAGUGACUGUAUAAAGGACGCCUAGCACUCCCCAAUCCUCCACGCUAAUUUUGAUUUUCUUGAGAGAAUUCCACAGUAGCUUGGCCGGGGGGCAUUCAGGUUUCCUCCGCACUUAUAAGUGACUUACUAGUGAUCUAUAUUGGGUGGGAUUAAACAGGACAUUAAGAAGUUUGUGGAAGAAUGUCCGGUUUGCCAACAAAGUAAGAGUCUUGCACUUUCCCCAGCAGGCCUCUUGCAGCCCCUACCAGUUCCCGCUCUUAUAUGGGAAGAUGUUUCAAUGGACUUCAUAGAGGGCCUACCAAAAUCUAGAAAUUACAAUUCCCUGCUGGUGGGGGUUGAUCGCCUCAGUAAGUAUGCCCAUUUCUUGUCACGAAAACAUCCCUUUACUGUGGAGGGAGUAGCUGCAGUCUUCAUUAAGAAAAUUGUCAGACUCCAUGGUAUUCCAAGGUCCAUUGUCUCAGAUCGUGACAAAGUGUUUCUUUGUCACUUCUGGUCAAAACUUUUUCGCCGCCAGGGGACUAUCCUCCGUUGAAUCACGGCUUACCAUCCGCAAUCAGAUGGGCAGAUUGAGGUGGUUAAUCGGUGUGUGGAAACGUAUCUUCGAUGCUUUACCUAUGGCAAACCAAAGAGCUAGAGCAAUUGGAUUUCCUGGGCAGAGUACUGGUAUAAGACCACUUUUCGCUCCUCUACAAAUACAACACCUUUCAAAGCAGUCUAUGGAAGGGACCCUCCCCCACUCAUCCGUUACGGCAGCCAGACCACUACAAUUCAAUCAGUAGAGCAGCAAUUACAGACCAAAGAUCAUAUGUUGGAGGAGCUGAAAUCUCAUCUGCAACAUGCCCAGGAAAAGAUGAAGGAGUUAGCAGACCGUCACAGGCGAGAUGUCUAAUUGAGUAUUGGAGACUUGGUGUACAUCAAACUCCGGCCCUAUCGCCUCCGCUCCCUUGCAAGAAAACCCAAUGAGAAGCUGGGCCCUAAAUACUUCGGUCCGUUUGAGAUUGAAGAACGGAUAGGGCCUGUGGCGUAUCGUGUGAAGUUGCCACCUUCCGCAGCUAUAUAUCCUAUGUUCCAUGUCUCGCAACUUAAAAAAGCGCUUGGGGCACAAGGUGCAAGCCAAGAGUUUCCCCCACAUCUUGCAGGUAAUUUGGAAUGGGUCGUGGAACUUGAAAAGGUUUUAGAAACCCGUCAUAGGCUGACUGGCAUGGAAGUGCUUGCGUAGUGGAGGGGUCUGCCCCAAUCUGAAGCCUUUUGGGAAUCAGCUGAAUCAAUCUUGCAACACUUCCCCGACUUCCACUUUAAGGACAAGGUGUCUUUGAAAGGCGGGGGUAAUGUUAAGCCACCAAUUCACUACACUUAUUCUAGAAGGGCAAAGAAGCAGGUCUCUCAAAUGGAGGCGCGAAACGGGUAAACUAAUUUCUGUUGGGGGGAUA